rnacentral:rRNA from 1 species
UCAAGCUAAUAAGGGCAUACGGCGGAUGCCUAGGCGCUAAGAGACGAAGAAGGACGUGGCAAGCUGCGAAAAGCUACGGUGAGCCGCAAGCAGGCGUUGACCCGUAGAUAUCCGAAUGGGGCAACCCGGCGGGAGAAGAUCCCGUCAUCAUGCAAUGAAAAGAUAGUUGCAUGAGGUAAACCCGGAGAACUGAAACAUCUAAGUACCCGGAGGAAGAGAAAGAAAGAAUCGAUUCCCGUAGUAGCGGCGAGCGAAGAGGGAAGAGCCUAAACCUUGAAGCGAAAGCAAAAAGGGGUAGCGGGACUCACGGAAUUGAGACAAAGGCCAGUCGAAGCGGUCUGGAAAGGCCCAUCGAAGAGGGUAAAGAUCCCGUAGGCGAAGGCCGAAGGAACAAGGUGAGUAUCCCAAGUACCACGGGGCACGAGGAAUCCCGUGGGAAUCAGCGAGGACCAUCUCGUAAGGCUAAAUACUCCUUAGCGACCGAUAGCGCAUAGUACCGUGAGGGAAAGGUGAAAAGCACCCCGGGAGGGGAGUGAAAGAGAACCUGAAACCGUAUGCUUACAAGCAAUCAGAGCCUCAGCAAUGGGGUGAUGGUGUGCCUUUUGUAGAAUGAACUGGCGAGUUGCGGCAGCAAGCGAGGUUAAGGCGGAAAGGCCGGAGCCGAAGCGAAAGCGAGUCUGAAGAGGGCGAAAUAGUUUGUUGUCGCAGACCCGAAACCGGGUGAUCUACCCAUGUCCAGGGUGAAGCUCAAGUAAAAUUGAGUGGAGGCCCGAACCAACCGUCGUUGAAAAGGCGGUGGAUGAGGUGUGGGUAGGGGUGAAAUGCCAAUCGAACCCGGAGAUAGCUGGUACUCCUCGAAAUAGCUUUAGGGCUAGCCUCAGGGACAAGAUCAACGGAGGUAGAGCACUGAAUAGGCUAGGGGUCUUCACGGAUUACCGAACCUUCUCAAACUCCGAAUGCCGUUGAUUGAUACCUGGGAGUCAGACUGUGGGUGCUAAGAUUCAUAGUCGAGAGGGAAAAAGCCCAGACCAACAGCAAAGGUCCCAAAGUGCAGACUAAGUGGUAAAGGAAGUGGGAUCGCAGAGACAACCAGGAUGUUGGCUUAGAAGCAGCCACCAUUUAAAGAGUGCGUAAUAGCUCACUGGUCCAGGGGUUCUGCGCCGAAAAUGUACCGGGGCUAAAGUCUGCCACCGAAGCUUUGGCUGCUAAGGAAACUUAGCGGGGUAGGGGAGCAUUGUAUCAUCAUAGAAGUCAUCCUGAGAGGGGUGGUGGAGAGGAUACAAGAGAGAAUGCCAGUAUGAGUAAACGAAAAGGCAGGUGAGAAUCCUGCCCGCCGAAAACCUAAGGUUUCCUGGGGAAGGGUCGUCCACCCAGGGUAAGUCGGGACCUAAGCCGAGGCCGAAAGGCGUAGGUGAUGGAAGACCGGUUGAGAUUCCGGUACCGCAACUGAGCGUUACAAGUGAAGCAGGGACACAGGAAGGUAGUUCGAGCGCACGACUGGAAGAGUGCGUCCAAGCGAGCAGGGUGUACGGGAGGCAAAUCCACCGUACGUGAGCCCGAGACGUGAUGGGGAGGGAAACCAAGUACCGAAGCGAAUGACCCUAUACUGUCGAGAAAAGCUGCUAACGAGUUCAGGGGCGCCCGUACCGCAAACCGACACAGGUAGGUGGGGUGAGAAACCUCAGGCGCGCGAGAAAACCCUCGUUAAGGAACUCGGCAAAAUGACCCCGUAACUUCGGGAGAAGGGGUGCCUCGAGAGAUCGAGGUCGCAGAGAAGAGGCCCAGGCGACUGUUUAACAAAAACACAGGUGCUUGCAAAAACGAAAGUUGACGUAUAAGUGCUGACGCCUGCCCGGUGCUGGAAGGUUAAGGGGAGAGGUUAGUCCGCAAGGGCGAAGCUUUGAACUGAAGCCCCAGUAAACGGCGGCCGUAACUAUAACGGUCCUAAGGUAGCGAAAUUCCUUGUCGGGUAAGUUCCGACCCGCACGAAAGGCGUAACGAUCUGGGCACUGUCUCAACGAGGGACUCGGUGAAAUUGUAAUACCGGUGAAGAUGCCGGUUACCUGCGAUAGGACAGAAAGACCCCAUGGAGCUUUACUGUAGCCUGAUAUUGGAUUUUGGCAGAUCAUGUACAGGAUAGGUGGGAGGCUUGGAAGCGAUGCCGCCAGGUGUCGUGGAGCCAACGUUGGGAUACCACUCUUGAUGUGCUGAAGUUCUAACCUGGUUCCCUGAAUCGGGAAUGGGGACAGUGUCAGGUGGGCAGUUUGACUGGGGCGGUCGCCUCCUAAAGAGUAAC